GGCAUACGGCUCAGUAACGCGUAGUCAACCUAACCUAUGGACGGGAAUAACCUCGGGAAACUGAGAAUAAUGCCCGAUAGAACAUUAUACCUGGAAUGGUUUAUGUUCCAAAUGAUUUAUCGCCAUAGGAUGGGACUGCGGCCUAUCAGUUUGUUGGUGAGGUAAUGGCCCACCAAGACUAUUACAGGUACGGGCUCUGAGAGGAGUAGCCCGGAGAUGGGUACUGAGACACGGACCCAGGCCCUAUGGGGCGCAGCAGGCGAGAAAACUUUGCAAUGUGCGAAAGCACGACAAGGUUAAUCCGAGUGAUUUCUGCUAAAGAAAUCUUUUGUUAGUCCUAGAAACACUAACGAAUAAGGGGUGGGCAAGUUCUGGUGUCAGCCGCCGCGGUAAAACCAGCACCUCAAGUGGUCAGGAUGAUUAUUGGGCCUAAAGCAUCCGUAGCCGGCUCUGUAAGUUUUCGGUUAAAUCUGUACGCUUAACGUACAGGCCGCCGGGAAUACUGCAAAGCUAGGGAGUGGGAGAAGUAGACGGUACUCGGUAGGAAGUGGUAAAAUGCUUUGAUCUAUCGAUGACCACCUGUGGCGAAGGCGGUCUACUAGAACACGUCCGACGGUGAGGGAUGAAAGCUGGGGGAGCAAACCGGAUUAGAUACCCGGGUAGUCCCAGCUGUAAACUAUGCAAACUCAGUGAUGCAUUGGCUUGUGGCCAAUGCAGUGCUGCAGGGAAGCCGUUAAGUUUGCCGCCUGGGAAGUACGUACGCAAGUAUGAAACUUAAAGGAAUUGGCGGGGGAGCACCACAAGGGGUGAAGCCUGCGGUUCAAUUGGAUUCAACGCCGG
rnacentral:rRNA from 1 species